rnacentral:rRNA from 1 species
UGGGGAAUAUUGCACAAUGGGGGAAACCCUGAUGCAGCGACGCCGCGUGAGCGAUGAAGGCUUUCGAGUCGUAAAGCUCUGUCCUAUGGGAAGAUAAUGACGGUACCAUAGAAGAAAGCCCCGGCUAAUUACGUGCCAGCAGCCGCGGUAAUACGUAGGGGGCAAGCGUUGUCCGGAAUCACUGGGCGUAAAGGGUUCGCAGGCGGAAAUGCAAGUCAGUUGUGAAAGGCAGAGGCUCAACCUCUGUAAGCAAUUGAAACUGUAUUUCUUGAGAUGUGGAGAGGCAAGUGGAAUUCCUAGUGUAGCGGUGAAAUGCGUAGAUAUUAGGAAGAAUACCGGUGGCGAAGGCGACUUGCUGGACACAAACUGACGCUGAGGAACGAAAGCGUGGGUAGCAAACAGG